rnacentral:lncRNA from 1 species
AGCGGAGGCCGCGCUCGCCCGAGCGGCGACAGUUCGCGGGUCAGGUCCUGCUGACAUGUCUCCCGAGGACCCCCAGGAGACGCAGCCGCUAUUGCGGCCACCGGAAGCCAGGACUCCCCGCGGCCGCCGGGUCUUCCUCGCUUCCUUCGCCGCCGCUCUGGGACCCCUCAGCUUCGGCUUCGCGCUCGGCUACAGCUCCCCCGCCAUCCCCAGCCUGCGGCGCACCGCACCCCCGGCCCUGCGCCUCGGAGACAAUGCGGCCUCCUGGUUCGGGGUGAGCCCUCUGGGGAGUCCUGGGUCCCCCACUCUCUGCCGCACCCCAGGAUCCUCCUCAUUCUCUUUCCUCUGAGACUAGGGGGCGUGGGGUGGAAGGAUCGUGGGCCAUGGCCCCUGGUGGCCUCCUCUUCAGCCCGUCCCGGGUCCCCAGGCCGUCGUGACCCUGGGCGCUGCUGCAGGGGGCAUACUGGGCGGCUGGCUCCUGGACCGUGCAGGGCGCAAGCUGAGCCUCUUGCUCUGCACCGUGCCCUUCGUGACUGGCUUUGCUGUCAUCACCGCGGCCCGGGAUGUGUGGAUGCUGCUCGGAGGCCGCCUCCUCACCGGCCUUGCCUGCGGAGUCGCCUCACUAGUGGCACCGGUUUACAUCUCGGAAAUCGCCUACC